GAUUAGUGGCGAACGGGUGAGUAACACGUGGGCAAUCUGCCCUUCACUCUGGGACAAGCCCUGGAAACGGGGUCUAAUACCGGAUAACACUGCGGAUCGCAUGGUCUGCGGUUGAAAGCUCCGGUGGUGAAGGAUGAGCCCGCGGCCUAUCAGCUUGUUGGUGGGGUGAUGGCCUACCAAGGCGACGACGGGUAGCCGGCCUGAGAGGGCGACCGGCCACACUGGGACUGAGACACGGCCCAGACUCCUACGGGAGGCAGCAGUGGGGAAUAUUGCACAAUGGGCGAAAGCCUGAUGCAGCGACGCCGCGUGAGGGAUGACGGCCUUCGGGUUGUAAACCUCUUUCAGCAGGGAAGAAGCGAAAGUGACGGUACCUGCAGAAGAAGCGCCGGCUAACUACGUGCCAGCAGCCGCGGUAAUACGUAGGGCGCAAGCGUUGUCCGGAAUUAUUGGGCGUAAAGAGCUCGUAGGCGGCUUGUCGCGUCGGAUGUGAAAGCCCGGGGCUUAACCCCGGGUCUGCAUUCGAUACGGGCAGGCUAGAGUGUGGUAGGGGAGAUCGGAAUUCCUGGUGUAGCGGUGAAAUGCGCAGAUAUCAGGAGGAACACCGGUGGCGAAGGCGGAUCUCUGGGCCAUUACUGACGCUGAGGAGCGAAAGCGUGGGGAGCGAACAGGAUUAGAUACCCUGGUAGUCCACGCCGUAAACGUUG
rnacentral:rRNA from 1 species